UCCCUGGUGGACUAGUGGUUAGCAUGCAACGCUUUUAUUGCCUCAACCCGGGUUCGAUUCCCAGUCAGGGAA